rnacentral:lncRNA from 1 species
GUAACUUUUAUAAAUGAGCACAUUUUCCAAAUAACCAUUUAAGAAUAUAAUAAACAGAAUAUCCAGAUUCUUAAGUUACAAGCAAUAGAGACUGAUUCUGAUUUCCGACAACAAAAGGGAAGAUGCUGGGUCAUUCAAAGGAAAUGCCAAACAGCUGAGCAUUCAGUAGGUCAGAAAUGAGGGUGGCACUAGAGGUUUAAGCAGCAAGAGCUCACAGCCAUCUCUCCAGGAGGCUGCCAGAGGACAACUUGAUUCCUAUCACUUUCUCUUCCCAAAUCACACAGGGAAGGGGCAGUUUCCCAAAAUAAGCUGUGUGUGUAGGGGGAGGGGGUUGGGGAAUGACGGACUUUUAUUAUGUGCUCAUAUCAGGCUGUGCAAACAACCAGCAGACUCCUAUACAUACAAAGUUGAGUUUUGAAUUAUACAUGUACUUUUUUUUUCUAUAAAACCUACACGUCCCCAUAAUACUAUCUGCAUUAGUUUUCCUGAUAGGAAAAAAAGUAUUGCAGAAUGCUCAAAUUAGACUUAUUUAUAAAAAAGUAGGUUCUGAAAAAUCUCAGAAAUAGCUCCAGAAGCAGUAGAGUUCAUAACCUAGAAUUUAUUGCCUUUUCUUUACACCCAUCUUUCUGUAGCUACUUUUGCUCAUGUAAUCAGGAAAAACACCUCUAUAAGGUAGGUUGAUGGCACAUAUUGAUUCAUUUGGAUGGAGUUACAUCUGUUGAAGGCCUAAAACUUGUAAAUGCGAAUUAUACUUAUUGAUAGCUUUGUGGAGACUGUGGGGGAAAAAGAUUCCUAUACUUUGUUGUUUUUAGUGCUGGCAAACAUUAAGAAGUGAUUCCUUGGCAAUGUAAGUCCUAUUUCUUCCCUUUGCAUAUAGGCAAAGUGUCAGGCUCCAGCCUGAGUUCCAGCACAACCAAGGCUAGGAUGGAAACAUGAAUGGCAAGCUGGAGGACCUGGCGGGGCAGGCCUACAGCGAGCCAUGGGUUGAAGAUCUGAGUUGUGCCCUGAGAGGACACUCAUUGUGACCUAAGAAGAAAGAGGCAGUACAAAGUGGACCCAGUUCUAACACCUCCUUGGGAUAGGGCCUCCUGCUCCAUCAUGUCCUCUCUGUAGCCCAAGGACACGUCUGCAUCCACGGCACAGAGGGUAAAACCAGAUGGUAGUUUCAUCAGAAGUUCUGUAGGCUCCCCAGCACAAGCAGCACUGUCUGACAUCUAACAGGAUGUGUUCCUAAAUCCCAGCACCAAGCUUUGGCAUCUUGAGAGGACCCAGUAGGAGAAUGGAAUGCCUCCCGGGAAAGGGCAGCAGUAGCUGACCACAGAAACACGGAAAGCUGCAGAGGCUGCUCAAGACAUCUCUUAGCACAUGAGACUCGCAGAAAUACUUGGGGAGGGAUGGAGACCUGGUAAUGAAAAGGCUUGGCAAGAGCUACUUAAAUAGCGGUUUUUAAUCAUUAAAAUAAACUCUCAUUUUGAAAAGCCUGGUGAAGCCUGUGGAGCUUGGAAUUUUCAGAGGAGAUGGCAGUAACAUCAUCGGACUGUAGAAUUAGAUUUUUUUUUUCCCAAUAAGGUAAUGAUGCAGAUAUCCACACUGGUCCCCUCAACAGUCUCUUGCCCUUUAUAGUAAUGCAUACUGGCACACAGGCAAAGGUUGGAUUGAAACAGGCGAAUACUUUGUAGACAAGGAACCAUGUGUUUAUCUUUUCUGGAUAAGAAUUAAACUAAUACUGGUAUCAGGAUUGCUAGUAUCAUGAACUGAUAUAAACAGCCAGAACACAUAGCAUUGUG